CCUACGGGGUGCAGCAGUGAGGAAUAUUGGUCAAUGGACGAGAGUCUGAACCAGCCAAGUAGCGUGAAGGAUGACUGCCCUAUGGGUUGUAAACUUCUUUUAUAAAGGAAUAAAACGAGGCACGUGUGCCUUUUUUGCAUGUACUUUAUGAAUAAGGAUCGGCUAACUCCGUGCCAGCAGCCGCGGUAAUACGGAGGAUCCGAGCGUUAUCCGGAUUUAUUGGGUUUAAAGGGAGCGUAGAUGGGUUGUUAAGUCAGUUGUGAAAGUUUGCGGCUCAACCGUAAAAUUGCAAUUGAUACUGGCAGUCUUGAGUACAGUUGAGGUAGGCGGAAUUCGUGGUGUAGCGGUGAAAUGCUUAGAUAUCACGAAGAACCCCGAUUGCGAAGGCAGCUUACUAAACUGUGACUGACAUUGAUGCUCGAAAGUGUGGGUAUCAAACAGGAUUAGAUACCCGAGUAGUC
rnacentral:rRNA from 1 species